rnacentral:rRNA from 1 species
GAUGAACGCUGGCGGCGUGCCUAACACAUGCAAGUCGAGCGAGAAGGUUAUGAUAGAUUCUUCGGAUGAUAGAUUAGCUGGAAAGCGGCGGACGGGUGAGUAACGCGUGGGUAACCUGCCCCAUACACAGGGAUAGCCAUUGGAAACGAUGAUUAAUACCUGAUAACACAUUUGAAUCGCAUGAUUCGAAUGUUAAAGAUUUAUCGGUAUGGGAUGGACCCGCGUCUGAUUAGCUAGUUGGUAGGGUAAUGGCUUACCAAGGCGACGAUCAGUAGCCGACCUGAGAGGGUGAUCGGCCACACUGGAACUGAGACACGGUCCAG